GAGCAGGGAGAGAAUCGGGUUAAGUCUGGGGAUGAAAAGCAAAUGACCACAGGCCAGGAAGGGGAGCCAGGUGUGAGGGCAGGAGGGAUCUGAUUGGCAACUGUGACUGGCUCAUUGGAUCUGCCUCUAACUGGUGCCACCUGAAGAAAUGAGAAACCCCUAUUGUCACGUAAACCUUUCCAUUUUUUUUUUUUUAACAGCACUCCGAGGCUCCAACCAAGCUUGGCUGUGAGUCUGAGCUAGCUCAUGGUACCACCGUUCCGGUCUACAUUUUAAGGCUAUGAAAGAAUGUUCUAGGCACAGCUUUCUUCCCCACAUUUUCCUUGAUUUUCCAGCAAAGCUGUAAUCCCAUCGUCACUUCCUCUGGCAACACGGGGACUGCCUGCCAUGCCCUAACUCCUCCUUGUGCUUUUGGCCUUCGCCUAAGAGUUCCUUGGAGUUUCUUCACAGCAUCUGUAGCCAUCUGAAGUGUCAUCUUCUGUACUAUAUUGCCAGUGCCUACAAUUACGACUGGUAUACUCAACCAGGCGGCAGUGGUCUUGUACAAUCUCUCUCUGUAUUCUCAAGUCCCCAUCUGCGAGCAUGGCUACUGGAAAUAACUGCAGCUGUAUACUGACUUAAAGAUCCAAAAAUCCCAGGAAGGACCCCAGAGCUGUGAGCCAGAAGCCCAAGGCCCUCCCAGCCUGAAAGCCCCAGGCCAAGCCUGAACUAUAUGCAGGUGAGUGUUGCUUUGCAGUUACCAUCUCCAAUUAGUGUCCCCAGCCUCUUAAAGCUGAUCUAAUCCCACUCUCCUGAUUUCAGCCCCUCAGACAGUGCCUGCUGCACUCAAUACAAUCCAUGUUCCUGAUGACGUGGCAUAUAAGGCCAGGAGCAAUCAGCUCUGCUGCCCUUGCCUAUCUCCUGCCUCCAUGUCCAUGUCUCCCCAGGCCCUGCCAUCUGCCACACCCUCUCCUCUCUGGCAGGUCAGGUGUCACACUGUUGGCUGUUCUCUCCUCCAGGAUGACUGAAAGCCCAGAGCUGAGAUGAAUUCAUACCUUAAAUCAGAAGUGAUUUCACUGGAGAUACCAUGUCUCUUCUAUCAGUCCCCCAAUCUAAAUCUUCCCCCGACCCUUGUAAACGCCCUGCAUGGCCUGGGUCUCCCAUUGCAAUCCUUCCAUUUGUUUGGUGUUUGGUUUUUGCUUUUUUAGUCAUCCCCAUGAGAAUAUAAACUCCAUGAGGGCAGCAACUUGGCUGGCCUGUGUGCCAGUGCUGGGGACAUCACUGAGAAAUGAAGGCCCAUUUGGCAGGCUAUUUUUGAGCAAGAUUCCUGAGGCCCAAUCGUUGGGUGAUGAGAUGGACCCGAGGUAUUUCACUCCAGCUCUCGAGCCAAAAGAACUGACCACGUCCUCACCACUGCUCUGCGCCAGGUACCAUGCUUGCUGUCUUACACGUGUAUUGGCUUAUUAAACCCUCACAGAAGCCAGGAGAGGAGUUCCAUUAUCACCUCUUCUAGAAGAGGAAACUGAGGCACAGAAGUUAACUGGCCAGGGCUUACGAGCCCCUAGGAGGCAAAGCUGGGGCAUGGUGCUGGAUGUCUGACUCCACGGCCCUCCCCUGCCUUAUCUGCCGUUGUUUCCCUUUCUGCAGGAUUAGUAGAUUAAGCUGUACUGGAAUGUGGCCUCUCAGGCAUUUCCGUAUCAGCCAUGGUUACACUCACUGAGGAUAGCACAGUUGAGUGAUUGAGACAGAGAUUCAGUGCCCCAAAAAUCCUUCCCAUCUGAGCCUGGACUUGCCACGUUUUUUAGAGACAGGGACCAGCAGGAGCUACUUUGACAUGGCACUGUGUUGGGCACAGCCUGGCUGGGGAAUCUCACUGGAUCCUCACAGUGGCUCUGUGUGGUAGGGUAUAGAGAUCCCUACCUUACAGAUGAGCAGACAGGCUAGAAAUAUCACCUGCCUGCUCCUGUGUCCCCAGCAGCAGCUAAGUGACAAAACUGAGGCGGGGAUACAGAAGUUUGAUGCCCAUGUGCUUCUGAAGCGGGCCCCUGGUAUGUGUACAAGGCAGCCAGGAAGUAUUUCUUGUCAGCUGUCCCCAUUCACAAGUUGGCUCACCACCUGAAAGGAGGGUGGUACUUUUAUCCUACUGCACAGGAACGGAAACCAAAGCUCAGAAAAUACUUGCUGGGUUGAUGCCUCAGACUCAGAUCUAAUUGUAACACCAGAAUUUGUUCCAGCCUUUUGAAAGCAGGGCUUCUCAACUUUGCAUGCACCUUAGAAUUACCUGGGGAACUUUAAAAAGAUCCUGAUGCUGAGGCCCAAAGAUUAAUGUUGCAUUAACCAGGCAGGGCCUGGCCUCUGUAUUUUUAAAAGCAUGCUGGGUGAUCGAAUGUGCAAGCUGUGGCUGAGACCCCAACUUGAAAGCAAUCCUACUGUUGGGGAAGUUCUGCAAAUGGAAAGACUAGCCCCCAAAAGAAUGAUUCCACAUAUCUCUGAGGUUACAAGUGGCUUUUUGGUGGGCUGACAAACUGGUUAAACAUUUGACGGUGUCUGAACCUCCGGAGCAGUGAUUUUUAGACUGUCCUCAGAAGAUGGCAAAUCUGAGUGCAGUGUGUUCCUAAAGGCUCUCUGUGGGGAAGUCUGCACGAUGGUACUGAGGGUUUUCUGAGAUUCUCCUGGCAGCUGUGGACCACUGUUCCAUUAUUUCACACCAGAUUUCAUCCAAGCAAAGAGAGGAUCACAUGGAGAUGAAAACACCCCACUUCCUUCAUCUGGAUGACACCUUGUUUAGAAGCCCAUCACUCGGCCAGAGAAGAAAUAUUUAGAUUGAGAAACAGCUUUUUGUUGUGCCCUAAGCCCAUUCUACCUUUAUGAUUCAACUAAAAAUUUAUUUCCACUUAAAUAAAACCAGCAAUUCUGAGCUUCCCCUCCCGUCACAGGUUUCCUCCCAGAAAGUCUAUCAUGAAAAUACUGCUCAAAAAUCAUCUGUAAAAAGGUAAAUUAACACAUAUUCUUGGCUCCCUCUUCCUUAUCUCAGCUAUUCAGCCUCUACACUUUUUCAACUAUUUUAUCACCUUUUUUAAAUAGGCAACACAGGAGUGUAGAAUAAGAGCAUGAGGGGGGUGAAUACAUGAAAAAGUGAGUCUUCCCACCUUGGUCCUCCACUAAGUGACGGUUACUUUUUAAUGUGUCUUUCUACAGGUAUACAUUACACAUAGAAGCACGUAUGUAUGCACCGGUGGAAGUAUAUAUCCUCAUAUUUGGUGUUUGGUUUUUUUUUU
rnacentral:lncRNA from 1 species